rnacentral:rRNA from 1 species
AGAGUUUGAUCAUGGCUCAGAACGAACGCUGGCGGCAUGCCUAACACAUGCAAGUCGAACGAGACCUUCGGGUCUAGUGGCGCACGGGUGCGUAGCGCGUGGGAAUCUGCCUUGGGUUCGGAAUAACAGUUAGAAAUGACUGCUAAUACCGAAUGAUGUCUUCGGACCAAAGAUUUAUCGCCCAAGGAUGAGCCCGCGUCGGAUUAGCUAGUUGGUGAGGUAAAAGGCUCACCAAGGCGACGAUCCGUAGCUGGUCUGAGAGGAUGAUCAGCCACACUGGGACUGAGACACGGCCCAGACUCCUACGGGAGGCAGCAGUGGGGAAUAUUGGACAAUGGGCGAAAGCCUGAUCCAGCAAUGCCGCGUGAGUGAUGAAGGCCUUAGGGUUGUAAAGCUCUUUUACCCGGGAUGAUAAUGACAGUACCGGGAGAAUAAGCCCCGGCUAACUCCGUG